rnacentral:lncRNA from 1 species
GGGACACCAGAACCUCGGCUUCCAGGGUUGUCACUGAGCCGGUGCUAUGCCAGGGCGGCCCAUAUGGUCGAGCGGUUGUCGCCAGAGACACAGAGCAUAAAUAAACCCUGGGAGUACAGAUGGGAGGCCGGCUAGGCUGGCUCCACUUCCUGGUCUCAUCACAGGGGAGUCCGUGUGGAAGCCCUGGGAGGCACCUCAGCCAUUUUCCAGGCCAACGACUGCAUUUGUCAGACGAGAAAAGCCAGAGGUUAAGGGACUUGCCAAAAGUCACACAGUGAGUCAACUGAAAAGCAGUAAGAGGUGGUGGCUAAGAGCACAGCAUGACUCCAUUGCCCUUGGCUUUGGCAAGUGACUGAAGUUCUCAGUUUCCUCAUACCAUGAGUGUGAGGUUAGUACCUGCCACAUUAGGUGCGUGGGACCCAAUCAAACGUAAAUGUGUGAGGCGCCCACUGCCAGGUUCAUAAUCACUGCUCCGUGGCUGCUGAUGGUUCUGAUGCUUAUCAUGACCGCUAGGAGCUGGAGAUAGAUCUUGAGAUCUCUUCUGCCCGGGUCAUGGGUAAACAUGAUGGAUAAAAUUAUGUGAACCAGAGUUUGAAUUUUGGCUUCUAGUUUUGUGACUCCCCCUUUCUGAGCUCUCGUUCUCAUCUGUAAAGCGGAGCAGCGACACCACUGUUCACAGGCUUGCUGCGAGGAUGGGAGGCAGCAGCGAGGGGACGGAGCCCUCCCAGCAGUAAACCGCAACUGUGACCCCCUAAUUCAAAGCUCCUCCCCUCGGCGGCAGCGAGGACAACGGCUUUCAGUUUGAAGAAUGUGACACUCGGCGCCAAACCCUUUCCAGGUGGCUGUUACACUAAGAUGGAGCCAGAGCAUCUCGGGAUGCUGUCCGACACUCCGAGGGCAGCAGAACUCUCGCUGGGUGGCUGAUGGCAGACCCAUUCUCUUGCCUCGAAUGCAGCAGACUGACCGCUUCCAGUUAAGUAAAAAUAUCAAAACCGUAACGUGCAUGAGAGCACCUUGGGAUAAAUGCAUUACGGAGCUGUCAUCACAGCUCUCACUCCACCAGUUCCUGCCGUUCAUGUGCGAUGCACAUGGGGCUCCUUGGCAAUCGGGACCACCGCUUCCUUCCAACACAGGUGAUCCGCUUCCUGGGCCGACCUCCGGGUCCUGCCACGACCCUCCCACAGUAGCCAUUUACUCGUUCUACCACUGGUUUUUUGCGUUUUGUUUUGUUUUGUUUUGCACGGAAUUAAUCACCUAUUUUCUACCAACUCGCCAGGCAAACGGGAUCUUUCACUUCCCUCAGUGCUUCUGUAACAGGAGGGGGUUUGAAUGAGAUGGGUGUUUUCCAAACUGGGCUGCUGGGGAGAGCUCUGAGCACUUCAAGGGGCUCACUAGGGGCUGCCGUAAGAAGGGAGUGCCCCGAAGGAGAGACUCUGGGUCCCUGAGCCUAUUGUUUCUGUUUUACAUUUUAGAACCCCACCUGAAAUUUUGUUUCAACAAAGGGUUUGGUGGCCAAAAACCCAUUCAGGAAUUAAAUAAUUAAAUACAUAAAUCAAUUACAUAAAGCUGCUGAGCCACGUGGUUUCUCAGGUCCUGUGCUGUGUUUCUCAGGUCCUGUGCUGUCCCACUCCGCAUGAUCAGCAGUGGACGAUCACAAUGGGAAUGGCCGAAUGAACAGGAGAACAUGCAGCCUGCAGUCUCUGGUAUGUGCCAGGGACACAGAGAUAACGGGAAAUGACGAAUGAGGCCAAAGCCAGCUAAAGAUGGGACUCCAGUUUGGCAUGUAACUGAGAAUUCUCCUCUGCUCUUGCACAAUGACAGACAAGGUCUCGUGGCCUUGAGGUGGGUCUGGGAAGGGGGUGAAUCUGGCUGGGCAGCUGGGGGCCAGAGUCUAAUUGAGUCCCCUGCUUUACCACCGAGAUCCUGAUGUCCUUGGUCCUCAGCUCCUGAGUGAUUCUUUCUAUAUCCCAGUGAUAACCAGCAUGACGUGACAGGUAGGGGGGAGGGGACACCCAAAACUCAUUGAUGAGUUCUGGCCACAAAGAAACUUCUGCAAAUGGAAAGAACCAUUACACACUUGCACACACACACACACACACGGGCUAUUCAUUUUAGAAAAAUCAUGGUCUAUUUGAUGACGGCUUAUGUUUCUUUCUAAAUUGAGUUCAAACUGGCAUAAAAACAUGUAUUUUGCUUUGUCCUUUGGCCUCUCUUCUUCUCAUUAUCUGAUAUUCUUUUGAGGAUCAGAUGCACGUCUAUCACAGGGAACAGGAACACCGAGGACAGGCAGCAAACAGCUUGGAGUGGUUACAAGGAUGAGCUUCCAGAGUCACGGGGCACGGGGCACCCAAGGCCUCGGGCACGUGGCAGAGCACAUUUGUUCCUUAAAGUCGGUAGGAUCCAGUCUGUGUUUUGAUAACAUUGCUCUGAAGGAGGCUCCGUCCCUUCUAAGUCAUGCCCUGGAGCUUAGUCCAUCAUAUGGCUCCUCUUAUUUUAUUCACAGCACUUAUUCUUACCUUUACCUCAUUGUCGAUUUGCUUAUAAUCUCUCUCCUCUAGAAGAAAGAGAGUUUGACAAGAGCAGCCACCUUAUCUGUCUUGUUCACCCACGUUUUCCCAGCUUAGAGCAGUGCCUGCCAUAGUGCAGGCACUUGACAAAUAUCUAUUGAAUGAAUGAAUGAAUGAAUGGCCCUCAGCCUUGCCUUCUUACUUAACACAAGCCUGGGGCAACCACGAUGCAGCCGAGGUGUACCAUCAGGAGAUCCAGUCUGCUGCCCCAGGAAAACCCCUAAAAUGGACUUUCCAUACCCACACCACAACAUGGAUGUCAUCUCCCCCAAACAGGAUAGCUUCGAGCGUGCAUUCAGUUCACGCAGGUGAAAAGUUCCCACGUGUUUUCUGGCACGUGGCAGGAGUUUGCCCAGGCAUUGCUGAAUCCAACACAGCUUUUAUCAUUUCCCCCAUUUCAGAGAAGAAAAGACUGAGGCUCAGAGGUGGACAGAAGUGGUAAAGCCAUGACUCAUGCCCCUAUCUUCUGAUUCUCCGAUCACAGCUCUUUCUGCCUCUUUAUGCCAUUUUUCUAGAACAAUCUCCCACACACACACUCAGUGCAUGUUAGUGGUUUAAGCUUACAUUUUUUAAUUUAAAAAAAUUUAAUUUAACAUUUUCCCCAAACAAACGCUUCAUUUUUCUUCUCAGCCAAGGCGUAUUCCCAAGUAAAGGCUUCAGAUAGACAGAUGGAAAGAGGGACAAGGGUCAUUUUCUACAGAGGGCAAUCUUUCUGGCAGGUCUUAGGGGGCAAACCCUGAACCCAGGCAUGCGGUGGACCCGGGGGACUCCCCCAGUCCUCCUCUCCCUCCUUUCCCCUGGAAGGGCAGCUGGGUCCUCUGGGCAAGCUGCAGAGCAAGGACCCUCCUCCCUCUUAGCUUCCCUCUCAAGCCUCAGUGGGAUGGGGACAAACGAUUUCUCUUGCAGGCGAAGAUCGGGCAGAGGUUUCUGGGCUGUGCCAAGCCACGGUUUUGUUUUACCUCGUGAUGAGGAACAGCUGUGUCCCAAAGGGGCGGCACCUCGCCGCCUCCGCAGUGUUUUGAUAAGAGGCGCGGGGUUGGCGAGUGUGGACGAGAUGAGGAAUCGCGUUUCUCGCAACAGUCCUCGCGCUCCAGGUCACGAGCUAAUCUCCUUUGGGAAACCGAGACCAGAGAUGGGCCUCCCUCUCUCCCUGCUAUCUCAGGGUAUUUUCUGUCACCAUGGAGAAUGGUAGAGGCUGGAAAAGGUCAAAAGGACACGGCCUACGAGCUGAGGCGGCAGAGCAGUGAAGCCUGUUGGAAAGUGCCAGCAUCCAAGAGGAGGAUGGUGAGAACCGUAGAGCCGGGUGCCGGGUCAGUCGGAUGGACACGGGUUCCAAGGCCACCUCUGUGCCGCCAGCUGUGGAUGUCCGAGUCUCAGUUUCCAUAUCCGUACCUAAAGGGCUGGUAGGAGUGAACGAGUUGGGCUGUGCAGGGCCCUUUGGUGUUUCAGGCGAUGUGAGUUGAAGAAGGAAUGAGCGCUUGGUCUUCAGAAGGGGCAGAGACGAGCCGCCAGGUCGGGUCAGAGUCACGGUUAACAAGCUCUCGGCUCCUCACUCCGUCGCUGUUUGGUUUUCACUGCGUCGCGAUUUUGCAGCUUUCCCACUCGGACCACCAACUUUCCUGAGCGUUUAGCCUUCUCUGCCGGCUGCCGUCCCCUCCCUCUCAGAGUCCCCCACCCCCAUCCGCAUCUACUUGAUGAUGACAGGAAUCGCCAGGGGCACCAGGCAGCUCAGAAGUAUACUCCAGGACAUGGCUGUCACACUUUUCUUUUUUCCUAAGACCCACAGUAAGAAAUAUAUUAAUAAAUUUUGCAUUGCAAAUCAACCCACACAUACAUAUAAAUGACUGAUUAAAGAAAUUUCAUGAAACACUCCCCGUCCUUCUUAUCUGCACUCUAUUAUUUUCUUUUCCAUUCCACUUCAUUCCAUUCUAUUCUACUUUAUUUUGCCUUUGAAAGUGCUGGUUACCACCCAGUAAUCUAGUUCAUUAACCAGCUGCCAGUUUGAGAAACACUGGUUUCCGGUGGGACUGCCAUGCCGUUCUCUCUGUCCAGUUGUGGACUGUAUCAGUGGCCCUAGAAACCUGUGUUCCAAUUCACAGCCUAAGAAUCAUCAGGGGCCUUGAUAAAUGUACAAAUUUCCAGGCUCCAUCCCCAGAGAUUUGACAGCGUUUCAGAGACUGGUCAGAACCAGAGUGUCUCGUGGGGUCUCCCUGGCACUGAGAUGGAGAUUCUGAUUCCAGGGAGAAAGCUUCUGAUUGGUCUAGAUGGGUCAGAGAAGGAAGAUGCCUUGAUGGGCAGUCCCACCAACACUGUAUCCCUUGGGGUGGGUAGCUCCCCAAAGUAAGUAGAAGAAAGGGUGAUGGAUGCUGCCAGGGACUGUUUGUGUCGCCCCAAAAUUCAUAUGUUGAAAUUCUGACCCCGAAUGUGAUGGUAUCUGGAGGUGGGGCCUUUGGGUUGAUUAGGUCAUGAGGUAGAACCCUCAUGAAUGGGAUUAGUGCCCUUAUUAGGAGACGCCAGAGAGCUCUCUUGUCCCUUCUGCCAUGUGAGGACACAGGGAAAAGAUGACUAUUUAUAAACCAGGAAGCAGGUCUGACUAGACUCUGAAGCUGCCAGUGCCCUGAUGUGGGACUUCCCAGCCUCAAGAACUGUGAGAAAUAAAAGUCUGUCGUUUAAUAAGCCACCCAGUCUAUGGUAUUCUGUUUUAACAGCCCAAACAGACUAAGACGCUGAGCAGGCAACAUCAAUGUCCACACAGAGACUGUUCUAGAACACCUAGGUAACAGUUUGCUAAGCUCUCCUCUGCUGCUUACAUUCUCCCGUGUGCUUUCUGGGGUGCCUAGCACAGUGCGCGCGGCAGGCAUCCAACGCGUGUGGGUUGCAUGAAAACCAACGUACAGUUGCAUUUUGACCACGAGUCUUGGUCAAAAUGAUUGGGUUUUUGACCCUGUGCUUCAUGUACACAAUUGAAGACAAAAUCCCUGAGGUCCAGUGUCUACUGAUUACAACAGAGUCCAGAAGAUUUUUUUUUUAAUUUUAUUUAACAAACUCUUACCAUGUACAAGCCAGUGUUCUGAGAGCCUUACAAAUAUUAACUUAUUAGGUCUACAUAAAACCCUCUAAGAGAGGUCCUAUUACAUGCCAGGCACUAUCUGAGGUAUUGUACCCAUGUGCUUCUAAGAUUCACACCUCUCCUGUAAGGGGCAGCGAUUAUUUUUUUCCAUAGGCGGACACUGAGACUCGGAGAGGUUAUAUAACUUGUCAUAGGCCCCACAGUAAGCAGCAGAGCUGCACUUUGAACCCUAGAAAGGAGGAAUGAGUCAGGCCAGGAGAAUCUUUGAAACUGCAUUUCAUCCUAGAGAUACCAGUUAGCUCUUGCAUGCUAAGAACAGCCACAGGUUGAAAUGCGCCAAGCCCUGAGGGAAAAAGAGCUCCCUUCUUACAAACAGAAACAGAGACAUGGAACCAAAGUGACUCACAGAAGUUCCCGCUGUGGACAGGACGCCGAUCAACACAUGGAACCUCCAGUGGCUGGCUGGGCAUUCCUAUAGCUUCGAUGUGCCCUCAUUCUGUUAAAAUGCAGUGACAAGGAAAUUCAUCACUGCUCACAUGAUUUUUGUUUUCCAAUGAGAGGAAGAAAGCUCUAUUCACUCACGGAGAGUUUUGUUCAAACAUCAAGCUCUAUUUUAAUUUUCUAGUGGCCAGUAUUGCAGUCAGCCACGCUUUAAAACAAUGACCCCGAAUUCCUCUUGCCUUCAUUGCAGUGACAAUGUUGUUACAGCUGACUAAUACUCUUUCUCAGUCUGUGUGGCUAACCAGCAUUUUCUGAGUUAAAUAUGUCUCUCAAGGUUGUCCCAGGUAGGUUCUGGGAUGGAAACUCUUGCUCCUAAUUUGGAAAAACGGUCCCUAGGGUCAUUUUUCAAUAAUAAAUAACAAGUAUAUAUUUAUUAAUAAAAAUAAACAAGUGGCAUGAUUUGUGGUUUAGAACUGUUCUGUUUAGCUUUUGGAUCCAAAUAUGUUUUCUUGAUCUUGGAUUUAGAUUCCGUUUGGUAUAGUGCCUAUGACUAUGAGAGAUUUUAACAGAAGGAAGUUAUAUUGGAAUUUGUAUGCAAUAAUUACUUUUCCAUAGGUGGCGAGUUUAAACAUGCUGUUCUUCCUGAAUUUCCUUCAGUUGAGUGUGAACAUAAAAUAUAGUUGCUUAAAACCACAAUUUAUUGCUUCCCGUGCUCUGUCGGUUGACUGGGUAGUUGUUUUUAUGGUCUUACCUGUGCUUACUCAUGUGGCCUCAGGCAGCUGACCCUUCGGCUGGGUCUGGAAAGUCUGAGAUGACCUGACUCACAUGCCUGGGGCCUCGGUGCUGGUUGUUGGCUGGGCCCCUCUCUUCAUGAGAUCUCUCAUCAGUCAGUAUCUAGUUUGGGCUUUCUAUCAUGGGGCAGAAGUGUGCCAAGAGGGCAAAAUGGAUGCUGCAGUCUCACACAGACUAGGCUCUGUCUAGUGACAGCCUCUUCAUGUCAGUUCUGCCAUAUUCUAUUGGCCAAAGUAAGUCACAAGGCCAGUCUAGGUAGAAGGGGUGAUGACAUAGAUUCCAUCUUCUAAUAGGAGGGGCUGCAGAAUUAUUUUCAUUCGUCUCACACAAAAUACAUUUAACCCCUGCCCAAAGGUCUCACUCCUUUAUAGAGCAUCAGUCUCAGUCUCAAAGUCCAGGUUCUUGAUCAUCUAAAUGCAAAUACAGGUGAGAUGCUGUGGAUGCAGUUUCUCAGGUCAGCUCUUCAGAUGCAGCUCUCCUGGAAUCAGAGAACUAUAAACUAAAGAGCCGUGUUACCUGCCCCUGCUUUGCAGCAUACUUGGUAAAGUGUGUUGCCACGGUAGAUAGUUCCCUUCAAAAGGGGAGGAAUGGGAGGCACACGGCAGUUGCUGGUCCACAGCAUUCUGAAAUCCAGCCAGGCACAAAAUUCCAAUUUCCCCAUUCCAGAAGUAUGGCAUACUCCUUAAUUAGGGCCCACUUUUGCUUCCUUGGAGUGUGUCUCAGUCAGUUAGGGCUGCUAGAACAGAAUAACACAGACUAGGGGGUUAAACAGCAAUUUACACACAGCCUUAUAGUUUUGGAGGCUCGAAGUCCAAGAUCGGGGCACUGGCAGAUUCAGCGUCUGGUGAGAGGCCUCUUCCUAAUUUGCAGAUGGAAAUCUUCUUGUUGUAUCCUCAAAUGACAGAGCGAGCUCUGGUCUCUUCAUCCCCUUAUAAGGGCAGCAAUCCCACCACGGGGGCUUUACCUCCAUGACCUCACACAGACCCAAUUAACCUCCCACAGGCCCCACCUCCAAACACCACCGCAUUGGGGAUUAGGGUCUCAAGAUCUGAAUUUUGGAGGGACACAAACAUUCAGUCCAUAGCAGAGUGGUUCCAUAACCUAUUCUUCUCCUUGGCUCUUGGCUCCACUCUCUGGGCCUUGGCUCUGCUCUCUGAGUUGUCCUUCCUUUUCCAUAGGAAAUGGCCCAUGUUUGCAACUGAGUAGUUUUUUUCUCUGCCUGCUUCCUUCCCAUAGAAAGUUGGGGGCCUAGAGGCCCAGAGGUUCUUUUCACUGUCAUUUCAUUCUGCCCCUUUAGGUCCAAGCUGGGGGUAUUUUCAACAAUACAAUGUCUUAAUUCUGAUUGGGGUUGAAUCUAUGGUCCAAAGAUGACAUCCAUUAUUCUUUCUUGAGACAGCCCUCUCUCUACUUUGAACCUGUUGUGGGAUAUUCCCUUAAGAUUCUUACAAGCCCUUUGUCCAGCUGAGAGGGUCUAUUAGGCAUCAGCUUAUCACUUUCUGAGGUCUUCUUAAAGGAUCUCACAGUCAUACCCUUGACGGAUUUUUAGCCUCGUGCCCUGUUUUCCUUGGAGAAUGUUUUAUUGGCUGGGAUGGGGAGCGUGUGUGCUGGAAAUAAGAGACAGUCUUGUUUUCUAAUCAAGCACGUCCUGGGUCUUCUAUAUUUCCUCUAAAUUCUGCUUGCAAACUAAACAGUUUUUCUUUAGCUCAUCUCUCUCUUCAUGCACCAUCAUAUGCAGCUAGGAGAAGCCAAUUGGCACUUUCAAUAUUCUGUCUAGAGAUUUCCUUGGCCAGAUCUACAAAUUCAAUAAGUAACUUUGUAUUUCCAAGUUACCUUGGGCAAUAAUUUGGACUAUUUUGGACUAUUGUUCCACCAUUACAUAACCUGGGUUGCCUUUUCUCCCAGCUUCCAAUAGCAGUUUUCUCAUCUUCUUUCCAACCCUCACUAAUGGCAUCCUUCCCACCUUCCACCCACCUCCCACUCCAUAGCUAAUGUCGUUAAUUUUAUGUUUUUGUUACUGCAACAUCUCACUUUUAAAUACCAAGUGUGACAGUUAAUUUUAUGUGUCAACUUCAUUGGGCCAUAAGGUGCCCAGAUAUUUGACAAAACAUUAUUCCAGGUGUGUCUGUGAGGGUGUUUUUGGAUGAUGUUAACAUUAGAGUUGACAGAAUGAGUGGAGCAGAGCACCCUCCUGAAUGUGGCUGGGCCUCAUGAAAUGCAUUGAAGGCCAUAGAACAUAAAGGCUGAGCCUCCCGAGAGGAAGAAGGAGCUCCUCCUGCCUGACUGUUGAACUGGGACACGGGUCUUUUCCGGUCUUCAGACUUGAAUUGAAACAUACGCUCUUCUUGGGUUUGAGAGUGCUGAUUUUUGGACUGGAAGGACACCGUCAGCUCCCCUGGUUCUCAGGCCUUUAGACUCAGAUUGGAACUACACCAUCAGCAGUUUGGGUCUCUGGCUUGCUGACUGCAGAUCUUGGGACUUCUCAGCCCGCAUAAUCACGUGAGCCACUUCCUAUCGGUUCUGCUGAUCUAGAGAAUGGUGAUAACACACCAACUUCUGUCUGUUACUUAUUGCCACAUCUCAAAACACCACAAAGCUUAGUGGCUUAAAAUACGAGUAGGCAAACGUUUUGUAAAGAGCAGGAUAGUAAAUAGUUUAGGCUUUGUGUGUUUAUCUCUGUCUCAACUACUCAACUCUGCCUUUCAGCACAAGAACAGCCAUAGACAAUAAUGUAAUGAAUGAGGGUAGUGACGUUCCAGUAAAACUUUAUUUACAAAAAAAUGUGC